UCGCAAAACGUCGUUAGCAAUGUUAAUCUGCGAUGCGCCACGAUCGAGACUUGCGAAUGAAACAUUUGGCAGGGCGGCUCGGUGGCGAUCGAUCGAGCGCGGGAAAAGUACGCAAUGAAGUUUGCCGGUUAAGUUAUCUAGACGAAGUACGGGAAGCGGUUUCCGCCGCGUCGACUCUUCUUCUCUUCUUUUCGCGUAUUUGAGCCGCGUCAAUCGGUAGACUAAUGGUCGAUACGAAGGUUUGCGUAACGCCAGGGCAAAUAUAUUGGAGGCGCGCCGCGAUAUCCACGGGUAUCCACAGGUAUCCGCGAUAUGUGGAGCGUAGCAGCGUCUGCGGACGGUGUAAAAGCGUUCAUGGCGCCGAGCGUACACUCUGGUACACUUUGGUGUGUGCACCAAACAAUCGCCGAAUGUCGCCUGAAGUUGAAGGGACGGCUAUAAAAGAAGGCAAACGACGAGAAUUUCCCCUGGCGCGAGACUGUCCCGGCCACGGCGGAGCUGGCGGCGCGCGAGUUGCCCACGCGCGUACACGCCGUGCCCGAAAGCGAGCGGAUCUGAAGCGGGAAUAAUUUUGCCUCCUACCAGCACACAAAUUCUAAUACGCAGGCGGGCACGGUAAUGACUACAAUCAUCCGGGACCGUACAAUGCUAUCUGAUCGGAUCACAAAAUGGGCACGUCGUUGUUUUCAAAACAGAUUGAAAUCGAGGAUGGAAGAGCGAGAAAGUGCAAGACGGCGUUCGAAGGAGCGAUAAAUCAUCGGCGGUCGACACUAGACGCGUCCGUGCCGUCGGUGUUUUGGUUUCGACGCUGCGGGGGAGACGGCUUCCCGCGGAGGCGCCCUUUGUCCCUUCGAGCGUCGAGAGGCCGGCAUCGCCGGAUAAAGGGUAGAGGUGUCUGCGUCUCCCGCCGAGCGUCGUUGGUACC